CUGUUUUUUUUUUUUUUUUUUUUAAUUUUCCUAGUUGCAGAUGAUCAAAUUCUCAAUUAGUUUGCAAGUAGCCUGAGAGUGGAUUCGUUUUUAUUUUAUUUAUAUUUAGCCUAUUAACAAAUGGGUGAAUAUUUUGUGGAUAUUGGGUUUUUUAAUGGAGUGGGGCGUGGAAACAAUAGAAGAGAUGUUGGCAUGUUGUACUCCUCAAAAUAGGGAUGACUUUUAGUGAGGAAAUACAGUUGAUCAGUAUGUACAUUGUAUCAUAAAAGAAAUAUAUAAUUUUUUCCGUUUAAUUAAGUUUUUGUAACCUUUUGGAUCAUUUCAUCAUGAUGAGAUUAGCAUAGCAAUUUCCGAGGUUUCAAAUGUAGUAUUCCGGCUUCAUGGAAAUUAAAAAUAAAACUCAACAAACAAUAUAAGGCAUUGCUUUCCAAUGACCACUUGAUCUUGGAUUAUACUGGGUGAGCUAACUCAUUAUGACAAUGAGGUUGGGGGA
rnacentral:lncRNA from 1 species